rnacentral:lncRNA from 1 species
CACUAAUCCAUGCCAGGCUCUGUGGUGUAAGACGGUGGCAAAAGUUCAAGUCCCUGGAUGGCCAGUGAUGAACAGUGAGAUCUUGAGUGGAGUCAAUUCAGGAACUUGGCUGAGGUUCUGCCCUACUUUGAACUCUGAGUGAUCCCUGUGCUUCUGUAGCUGGUCCCUCUGUCUGCGAGCUGGGUCAUGCCGAAUGCCAGCCAUGGUCUCACACAUCUGUCUCCUCACUAGACAGCAAGUGCUGCUACAAGUUGUGCAACGUGCUUAAACAUCACACGCCGAACAGGAGGCAGAGCCUGUCUAACUUCAAAGCACACACUCUUCACUCUGUUAAACUGAUGGAGGGGAAAAUGAACAAAAC